rnacentral:pre_miRNA from 1 species
GCUCUGACUUCAUUGCACUACUGUAUCAGACAGCUAGCAGUGCAAUAGUAUUGUCAAAGCAU